rnacentral:rRNA from 1 species
UGGGGAAUAUUGCACAAUGGGCGCAAGCCUGAUGCAGCAACGCCGCGUGAGGGACGACGGCCUUAGGGUUGUAAACCUCUUUUAGUAGGGAAGAAGCGAAAGUGACGGUACCUGCAGAAAAAGCACCGGCUAACUACGUGCCAGCAGCCGCGGUAAUACGUAGGGUGCGAGCGUUGUCCGGAAUUAUUGGGCGUAAAGAGCUCGUAGGCGGUCUGUCGCGUCUGCUGUGAAAACCCGAGGCUCAACCUCGGGCCUGCAGUGGGUACGGGCAGACUAGAGUGCGGUAGGGGAGAAUGGAAUUCCUGGUGUAGCGGUGGAAUGCGCAGAUAUCAGGAGGAACACCGAUGGCGAAGGCAGUUCUCUGGGCCGUAACUGACGCUGAGGAGCGAAAGCGUGGGGAGCGAACAGGAUUAGAUACCCUGGUAGUCCACGCCGUAAACGUUGGGCGCUAGAUGUGGGGACCAUUCCACGGUUUCCGUGUCGCAGCUAACGCAUUAAGCGCCCCGCCUGGGGAGUACGGCCGCAAGGCU